rfam:Schistosoma mattheei strain Denwood, Zambia genome assembly, scaffold: SMTD_contig0005570
AUCCAGCUGACGAGUCCAAAAUCGGACGAAACAAUGAGAGUCCUGGAU